rnacentral:rRNA from 1 species
AUUGAACGCUGGCGGCAGGCCUAACACAUGCAAGUCGAGCGGAGCGGCGGACGGGUGAGUAAUGCCUAGGAAUCUGCCUGGUAGUGGGGGAUAACGUCCGGAAACGGGCGCUAAUACCGCAUACAAUCAGAUGAGCCUGGGUCGGAUGAGCUAGUUGGUGGGUUAAAGGACUACCAAGGCGACGAUCCGUAACUGGUCUGAGAGGAUGAUCAGCCACACUGGAACUGAGACACGGUCCAGACUCCUACGGGAGGCAGCAGUGGGGAAUAUUGCACAAGGGGCGCAAGCCUGAUCCAGCCAUGCCGCGUGUGUGAAGAAGGCCUUCGGAUUGUAAAGCACUUUAAGCUGGGAGGCGUUACCAACAGAAUAAGCACCGGCUAACUCCGUGCCAGCAGCCGCGGUAAUAC